GACGAACGCUGGCGGCGUGCCUAACACGUGCAAGUCGAACGGGGCCAGGGGCAACUCUGGUUCAGUGGCGGACGGGUGCGUAACACGUGAGGAACAUGACCUUCGGCGGGGGAGUAGCCGGCCCGAACCGGCCGGGUAAGUACCGCCGUACGACCACUUGGGGUACGAUCCUCGAGUGGUGAAAGACAGCAAUGCGCCGAUGGAGUGCCUCGCGGCCUA
rnacentral:rRNA from 1 species